rnacentral:rRNA from 1 species
AUGUUAAUGGUUGGUCUUGCUCCCUGUGCAUUUUCACUCACCGAGAGCGACUACUCCAGAAGAAAAAAAGCCAUGGGAACGUGCCGCCCUCAGUCCUUUCUCUCGACAAAUCCAUCAGUGCAGGUUCUCCUAUGCGCCAAGUAUUGCCAGCGGCGAUGCCUCCAUCGUAGCUCAUUGAGGAAAUGCUGCUUUUCCGUAUGCAUAUUUAUCUGUUUUGUUUUCUGGCAGGAAGGCACACCCCACACCAUUGUUCUCGUGCAACCAUCUCCAAACAAAACGUCCAAAAAUUUUAUGGACUUCAGUUCACUCAACCAAGCCCUGGAUGGAAGUUCAGCGGCACAAUCCCCGGUCGUUCAGUCUCGCUGUUGUGGGCGUGCCCCGCUCCAACUCCAUCACCUCUGCUUCACUGGUGAAACAAUGCGACCUGAGGAACCACGGGGGUCGAGGACGUCCAGCUCCGCAGUCCAACUCGGCGUGAUUCACGUCAUUGAUAGCCCCCAUGUAGCAGCCUAG